rnacentral:rRNA from 1 species
UAAAACCUGCAGCUCACGUGGUGAUCAUUAUUAUUGGGCCUAAAACGUCCGUAGCCGGUUUAGUAAAUGCCUGGGUAAAUCGUGUAGCUUAACUAUACGACUUCCGGGUAGACUGCUAAACUUGAGACCGGGAGAGGCUAGAGGUACUCCUGGGGUAGAGGUGAAAUUCUGUAAUCCUAGGGGGACCACCAGUGGCGAAGGCGUCUAGCUAGAACGGGUCUGACGGUGAGGGACGAAGCCCUGGGGCACAAACCGGAUUAGAUACCCGGGUAGUCCAGGGUGUAAACGCUGCUUGCUUGAUGUUAGUUGGGCUCCGAGCCCAACUAGUGUCGGAGAGAAGUUGUUAAGCAAGCUGCCUGGGAAGUACGGUCGCAAGGCUG